GUGCUCACUUUGGCAGCACACAUACUAAAACUGGAAUGAUACAGAAAAGAUUAGCAUGGUCCCUGCGCAAGGAUGACAUGCAAAUUUGUGAAGCGUUCCAUAUUUUU